rnacentral:tRNA from 1 species
AGGCGCGUAGCUCAGGGGGAGAGCGCUACCCUGACACGGUAGAGGUCCCGGGUUCAAAUCCCGGCGCGCCUA